rnacentral:rRNA from 1 species
GACGAACGCUGGCGGCGUGCUUAACACAUGCAAGUCGAACGGAAAGGCACUGAUUUUGUGGUCUUCUCGAGUGGCAAACGGGUGAGUAACACGUGAGUAACCUGCCCUAGUCUUUGGGAUAGGUUCAGGAAACUGGGGCUAAUACCGUAUAGGAGCCCCUGCAGCAUGGUGGGGGUUGGAAAGUUUCGGCGUUUGGGGAUGGACUAGCGGCUUAUCGGCUAGUUGGUCGGGGAGUGGCUUACCCAGGCUUGGACGGGUACCCGGCAUGAGAGGGUGGCCGGCCACAAUGGGACUAAGGUAGGGACCAGAGUCCAACAGGAGGCAGCAGUGGCGAGUAUUGACCAAUGGGCGCAAGCGUGAUACAGCAACGCCGCGUGCGGGAUGACGGCAUUCGGGGUGUGAACCGCUUUCGCUUGUGACGACGCGUUAGUGACGGUAAUGUAUAAAGAAGCACCGGCUAACUACGUG